rnacentral:rRNA from 1 species
UGGGGAAUAUUGCACAAUGGGCGCAAGCCUGAUGCAGCCAUGCCGCGUGUGUGAAGAAGGCCUUCGGGUUGUAAAGCACUUUCAGCGGGGAGGAAGGCGAUAAGGUUAAUAACCUUGUCGAUUGACGUUACCCGCAGAAGAAGCACCGGCUAACUCCGUGCCAGCAGCCGCGGUAAUACGGAGGGUGCAAGCGUUAAUCGGAAUUACUGGGCGUAAAGCGCACGCAGGCGGUCUGUCAAGUCGGAUGUGAAAUCCCCGGGCUCAACCUGGGAACUGCAUUCGAAACUGGCAGGCUAGAGUCGUGUAGAGGGGGGUAGAAUUCCAUGUGUAGCGGUGAAAUGCGUAGAGAUGUGGAGGAAUACCGGUGGCGAAGGCGGCCCCCUGGACAAAGACUGACGCUCAGGUGCGAAAGCGUGGGGAGCAAACAGG